rnacentral:snoRNA from 1 species
CUGAAUAGUGUCCCUCUCAAAAUUCAUAACUAAGAAAAGAUAUUUAUGAUGUGCUAAACGAAACUUUGGAGGUAAAUUAUCAGCAUAACUAAUUUAGCCAUUGCUGUCAACUAUCUGCAGAUAAAU